UGGUCUAGAAACGCCCAUGUCCACUAUAAAACACAUCCACGUGUUUAUCUAUCUAUAAAUCCUCUUUACCUGAUCAGCAAAAUAAAUCUUCUGUUUGCCAUACGUUUUCUCUUUUAUCUUGCCCUCGAGAGCCAGCAGCUCCAUGGAUUUGACCACCGCCUGUUGACACAAACAUUCACAAUGUUAUUGUUGUUUUGUUUUUUUUCAACACACAAAAGUAUUGUUUUGCCCAAGUCUAAAUCUGACCGUUUUGCCCAAUCCGUGCUGUUUUUGUAGGUUACAGAAGACAUCCUGGGUGCUGUAAGGACGGUUCUUGGCAUUCAGGCUGACCGUAGGACAGAAGGCUGCCAGCUCCUCCUCACUGUCGCUGCCUUCACCUGAGAUGACACCAUGUAGAGGCAAGCGCAGGACUGCAGAGAAGAGGCAAAAAAAAAAAAAAAAGAUGCAAAAGCUUUUAUUUACAGAAAAACCAUAGUCCCAUUGAGUAACAAAUAAAUGUGCCAACGACGCUCCUCACACUGGUUGUCGAGCGGCUUGGACAUCAUGUACCCGCAAACGCUGAAGUCCAGCCGCUGUAGGACCGGCUCCAGCUUCGCAAACAUGCACUGAAAAACCCUGUUGUAGGCCGCCAGAGGUGCCAGGAGCAUUGCCAACACUGGGCGAGACAGGAAAAGAGAAUUUUUACAAAAACGUAUAGUUUUUCUUAAUUAGCCAUAAUGGAUUCAAGGAGGCAUUUUGGCUCACCCACCACCGCAAGCUUUCCUCACCUCCUGAGCCCGGAUGAUCCCCUUUCAACACCCGUGAAUUUUUAAUAGGACUGUCGAGAUGGCAUUGCGCCGGCUUGGCGGGACUCACAAGUCGAGUAGGAAAGCACCAAGCCAGGAACGUAGCGUCCGAUCACGGCCAAAGAGAAGAAGAGGCAGCAGGUCAGGAUGCAAAACUGGAACGCACAAGCGAAGCACACACAUUGUGAUGCAUGGUGGAUUACGUAUGGCCACAUCAUUAGGUACACGUAAUAUAUCAAUUACAAUUUUACAAAUGCUCAGUUGUGAUUAUUUUCUUUUAAUGUAUUACUUAGCUAC